rnacentral:rRNA from 1 species
AAAAAGAAAAGGGUGCUAAUACCGGAUAAUGUCUUCGGACCAAAGAUUUAUCGCCUUUGGAUGGGCCCGCGUUGGAUUAGCUAGUUGGUAGGGUAAAAGCCUACCAAGGCGACGAUCCAUAGCUGGUCUGAGAGGAUGAUCAGCCACACUGGGACUGAGACACGGCCCAGACUCCUACGGGAGGCAGCAGUGGGGAAUAUUGUAUAAUUGGAGAAAGCGUGAACCACCAAGGCCGAGACUCGUU